rnacentral:lncRNA from 1 species
GGCUAAUUGAGCAUGAACACUUUACUGAACAAAAUGAUCUUGUCUUCUGAAACGUUUUAUUUGAUAAACCAGAGAUAAUGGACAGGUUUCCAAUAACUUCGAUCUUUAAAUAUCAUUUUUCAGAAGUGUGUAUCCUGCUUUAAAAAUUGGUUCAGUUAAGAUGACAAGCGCAGGUGGGGAGUAUCAUGGUAAUUGCCUGUCUCCAUGUGAGGGGGAGAAUAUUUGCAAUAUUGUGGUCCUCAUCUAGGAGCAGAUUACCCAGGAAAAGGAUCAAACCAGACUGUCAGUCUGUAGAAGUCAAUGAACCCAAGCAUAUUUUGAAAAUUACAUAGUUUACGGUGUGCUCUGCUAAUUCUCCAUCAUAGUUUCAUCCUACUUGAUACAAAAGAUACUGCAUAGCUGUGUUGACCAAGGAAGACCUGAAGAGCGGCAGACAUACAGCCAAGCAGCAAAAGAAGGCUGUUCUUUACCUGGAUUGGAGUCCCAUGGGUUGAGGCAGCCCUGGAUUUGAAAGGCUAGGCUUCAAUUUAUUAAUGUUCAUUCUGGACCAGAGCUUACACCAGGAUUCAUGCUACUGAACACUGGCUAUUGAAACAUCAGUUGGUCGACACGCAAUCUCUACAGAGACAGAGACACAGAUGCACAUUCUGCUGCAACUUUCAGUGCUGAAAACGGAAGAUGAGCUGAAAAGAAAGCACCACAUUCAGAUAGAGGAGAUGAUGAAGAUGAUGAAGCCUGUUUCCUCUGCUGCCCAGGAAUUGCUGCUUCAGGACCAAAGGACAAGGCUACCAGUUGACUUGGUUCUCCAACCACUUGGCAAUGCCAUAAAAUGUUGGGCUUACUCACAACAAAUAGAAAUUUGUGGUCCUAUUUUGUGGGUUCCCUGGAGAAAUUUCUGUAUGACUGGCUGCAAAUUUUUUGGGAGUUCUGUCAUUUUGAUCUAUGCUGAUGUCAGUCCCUGGGGAGGACCUUGUAAGAUAUUCCUGAGACCAGCCACCAAGAGACAGAGAUUCUCCUUUACUAAGGGUAGGAAACCAAGCAGUGAGAAGAAAGCUGGGUUAGAGCUUUCAUUGUAGAAGCAAAAGCAGAGCUCGCUCAUAUAACAACUAUACUGCAGCAAGCAGAGCCAAUCUUGGGCUAUUAGCAGCAAUGACAACACAAAAUCUGCUGCACCCUUACUGAAUUUUCCCAUCCCCAAAUAUAUUUCUGUCAGUUUUUUGGGUAUAUUUUAAUUUACACAUCUGUUCACUCUCAGACAUACUUUUGCAGCUCACAGAAGUUGGCUCCUUCUAAUGAUCUAUGGCUGUACCUUGUGAAAAUAUGUUUUCAAUUUGGCUCCUGAAACAUGGAUCAAGUGAUACUGCCAACACAAAUAUCCUUUGCUGUCAAACAUUUUUCUCCUCUGGAGAGUGGAACACCUGCACGGCAGCUCAGAAAAAAAAAAUAAUAAAAAAAAAUGUUGUAUAGUGGUGUUUCCUAUU